rnacentral:lncRNA from 1 species
GACAAAGUUAGUUAGUUAAAUUGGGUUUAAUGGCGCAAAAGCAACUGAGGCUAAGCUGCGCCAGACACAGGAUAAGCAAGAAAUGGCAUUGAAAACAUGAA